CAGUCGCCGCGGUAAUACAGAGGGUGCGAGCGUUAAUCGGAUUUACUGGGCGUAAAGCGUGCGUAGGCGGCUUUUUAAGUCGGAUGUGAAAUCCCUGAGCUUAACUUAGGAAUUGCAUUGGAUACUGGGAAGCUAGAGUAUGGGAGAGGAUGGUAGAAUUCCAGGUGUAGCGGUGAAAUGCGUAGAGAUCUGGAGGAAUACCGAUGGCGAAGGCAGCCAUCUGGCCUAAUACUGACGCUGAGGUACGAAAGCAUGGGGAGCAAACAGGAUUAGAUACCCCAGUAGUCCCUGUCUCUUAUAC
rnacentral:rRNA from 1 species